rnacentral:rRNA from 1 species
AUGGCCUCCGGCGGUGCCCCCGGCCUCGACCACGGGCGCCGGACUCGCUCCAGCCACAAGGUGAUCGCUUCCACGCCGUCCCUGGAGCAGCAAGUAUUCCUCCUGCAGCAGCACGCGGUGGUGGUGACUGCCGUCAGCAAGGUCCACGCCGCCAGCCCCUUCUCCAUCGGCCGGGCCGUCGAGAAGGAGUUCUAGAUCCCCGCGCACCUCCUCCGCAUCACCAGCCACGACCCGGAAGACUUCUUCAUCCACUUCCACCUGCCCGCCCACAAGGACCUGGUCGUGCGCCAGGGCGUGAUCACAGUCGAUGGCGUGCAAUUCCUUCUGGAGCCAUGGCGAGAGGACACGCACGCGGUGCACGCCACCUGGAUGAUGCACGUGCAUGUCGUCCUCGAGAAGCUGCCCAUGCAGCUCUGGACCCUGGAGGGGGCGGCUGACGCGCUCGGCGACCAGGUCAUCAUCGACCGCCUUGACAGCCGCACUUUCGAGCGGGCCGACACGAAGACGUUUGCCGUGUGGGUGUGGGUGUGGGAGGUGCACCACAUCCCCACCAGGCGGACGCUCUGGAAGCACGCGCGAGGCGCGGGGCGGGUGGAGGAGAUGCACAGCUUCUCUCCGCCGAGCCGCGUCGUUGCGCCGCCGCCGGCCCUGCUCAGGUGGGAUGUGGGGAUCGUAGCAUAA